GAUGAAGAACGCAGCGAAAUGCGAUAAGUAAUGUGAAUUGCAGAAUUCAGUGAAUCAUCGAAUCUUUGAACGCACAUUGGGCCCGCCAGCAUUCUGGCGGGCAUGCCUGUUCGAGCGUCAUUUCAACCCUCGAGCCCCCCCCGGGGGCCUCGGUGUUGGGGGACGGCACACCAGCCGCCCCCGAAAUGCAGUGGCGACCCCGCCGCAGCCUCCCCUGCGUAGUAGCACACACCUCGCACCGGAGCGCGGAGGCGGUCACGCCGUAAAACGCCCAACUUUCUUAGAGUUGACCUCGGAUCAGGUAGGAAUACCCGCUGAACUUAAGCAUAUCAAUAAGCGGAGGA
rnacentral:misc_RNA from 1 species